rnacentral:tRNA from 1 species
GGGCGCUGUAUUUUAAUAUUUAAUACUUGUUCUUUGACUUUUAGCCAAUGGGUCAAGGGUUCAAAUCCCUUCGCGCCCACCA